rnacentral:rRNA from 1 species
AGGCCUCAAAUAAUGUGUGACUACCCCCUAAAUUUAAGCAUGCUAGAUCUCCUCCUCGAUCACCGCGGGCAGAUUGUGCGUAUCUUGGACUCAUAUAGGCCUCAAAUAAUGUGUGACUACCCCCUAAAAUUUUGCAUAGGGGAGUCGCUCCUUAUUUGGGGCCUACUUGGUACUGCCUUGCCGGGCUCUUUGUGGGUGUUCACCCAGCAUGUGGAUUUCACUCGCCUGAAAGGUGAUACGUCCGUACCAAAGCCCUGAUGGUGUGAAAUUUUUCUUCGCACUCCUGGUCC